GCCCCAUUGGAUGGACAGAGGAAAAAAAGGGGGGAGAGACGGUAUAGGAAGAUGAAGGAGCGACUGGGGCUGACCGAGAUCCGCAAACAGGCCAAUAGGAUGAGCUUCGGAGAGAUAGAGGAGGAUGCGUACCAGGAGGACCUUGGCUUCAGCCUGGGCCAUCUGGGUAAGGCCGGCAGCGGCCGCGUGCGACAGACUCAGAUCAAUGAGGCCAAUAAGGCCAGGAUCUCCAAGACCCUGC